GAUGAACGCUGGCGGCGUGCCUAAUACAUGCAAGUCGAGCGAACAGAUGAGGAGCUUGCUCCUCUGACGUUAGCGGCGGACGGGUGAGUAACACGUGGAUAACCUACCUAUAAGACUGGGAUAACUUCGGGAAACCGGAGCUAAUACCGGAUAACAUGUUGAACCGCAUGGUUUAAUAGUGAAAGACGGUCUUGCUGUCACUUAUAGAUGGAUCCGCGCCGCAUUAGCUAGUUGGUAAGGUAACGGCUUACCAAGGCAACGAUGCGUAGCCGACCUGAGAGGGUGAUCGGCCACACUGGAACUGAGACACGGUCCAGACUCCUACGGGAGGCAGCAGUAGGGAAUCUUCCGCAAUGGGCGAAAGCCUGACGGAGCAACGCCGCGUGAGUGAAGAAGGUCUUCGGAUCGUAAAACUCUGUUAUUAGGGAAGAACAAAUGUGUAAGUAACUAUGCACGUCUUGACGGUACCUAAUCAGAAAGCCACGGCUAACUACGUG
rnacentral:rRNA from 1 species